rnacentral:rRNA from 1 species
AUUGAACGCUGGCGGCAGGCCUAACACAUGCAAGUCGGGCGAACGGCGGACGGGUGAGUAAUGUAUGGGGAUCUGCAUGAUGUAGGGGUAUAACUACUGGAAACGGUAGCUAAUACCGCAUACCAUCAAAUGAACCCAUAUGGGAUGAGCUGGUGGGUGAGGUAACGGCUCACCUAGGCGACGAUCCCUAGCUGGUCUGAGAGGAUGAUAAGCCACACUGGGACUGAGACACGGCCCAGACUCCUACGGGAUGCAGCAGUGGUGAAUAUUGCGCAAUGGGCGAAAGCCUGAUGGAGCAAUGCCGCGUGUAUGAAGAAGGCUUUCGGGUUGUAAAGUACUUUCAGUAGGGAAGCGUUACCGAAAGAAGAAGCACCGGCUAACUACGUGCCAGCAGCCGCGGUAAUUC